rnacentral:rRNA from 1 species
UUCCGGUUGAUCCUGCCGGACCUGACUGCUAUCGGAACGGGAUUAAGCCAUGCGAGUCUGCCAAUCAGAGCAUGUUGGUUGGCGGCGAACGGCUCAGUAACACGUAGUCAACCUGCCCUCGGGUCGAGAAUAAUCUCGGGAAACUGAGGCUAAUGAGCGAUAGGUCAAGAUUCCUGGAAUGGGUUUUGGUCUAAACGGCGUGACAGCAUCUUGUCAUGUCCGCCCGAGGAUGGGACUGCGGCCGAUCAGGCUGUUGGUGGGGUAAAGGCCCACCAAACCAGUAACCGGUACGGGCUUUGAGAGAAGGAGCCCGGAGAUGGACACUGAGACAAGGGUCCAGGUCCUACGGGGCGCAGCAGGCGCGAAACCUUCGCAAUGCGCGCAAGCGCGACGAGGUUAUUCCGAGUGAUUUCCGCUGAGGAAAUCUUUUCUCAGAUCUAAAAAGUCUGGGGAAUAAGGGGAGGGCAAGUCUGGUGUCAGCCGCCGCGGUAAUACCAGCUCCUCGAGUGGUCAGGGCGUUUAUUGGGCCUAAAGCAUCCGUAGCCUGCUUGGUAGGUCUCCUGUUAAAUCCAACGACUCAAUCGUUGGUCUGCAGGAGAUACCGCUAGGCUAGGAGGCGGGAGAGGCGGACGGUACUCCGAGGGUAGGGGUAAAAUCCUUUGAUCCCCGGAAGACCACCAGUGGCGAAGGCGGUCCGCCAGAACGCGCUCGACGGUGAGGGAUGAAAGCUGGGGGAGCGAACCGGAUUAGAUACCCGGGUAGUCCCAGCUGUAAACGAUGCGAGCUAGGUGACACGACGCCUUCGGGGCAUCGUGGUGCCGCAGGGAAGCCGUUAAGCUCGCCGCCUGGGGAGU